GUCUGGUCUGCUCACUGAUUUAAUUUUUAAAGAGCCGCGGUAUUUUGACCGUGCAAAGGYAGCAUAAUCAUUAGUUUCUUAAUUGGAUGCUGGAAUGAAUGGUUUGACGAGAAAUUAACUGUCUCUUGAUAAUUUGUAGAAUUUAACUUUUAAGUUAAAAGGCUUAAAUAUGUCUUUAGGACGAGAAGACCCUAUAGAGCUUGAUAUUUAUAUUUAUUUGUACUUUUUUUGAUUAUCUUUUUAUAUUAAAUUAUAAUCUUUGGUUGGGGUGAUG
rnacentral:rRNA from 1 species